rnacentral:lncRNA from 1 species
UCGAUCUUUUUCUGUCUGUCUGAAGAGGAGGAGAUUUAUGGAAAUAAAGGCGGUAAUUGAAGAAAGUCAAGAAACCCCAACCCAAGGAAAUAUCCAAGGUAUCUUUAUGGUAUCAACAGUGACAAGCAAAAAUAUGAACUUUAAGAAAGUCAAUUUUUGUUGCAACUUACAGCCUAAUUGGCUUCUUUCAGUCCUGAGUAUAAAAUCUCCUAUCCCCUCCUCUUUGCAAAUUCUCUAAAUGUUGGCCAUUUCAAGUGUCAAUACCAUUGCUUCGAAACCAUCAGUUUAUUCGGUUUAUAACCCUCUAUUUUGGUAUGAAGGAUGGGUGAUGGAGGAAGGAAGGAUGAGGGAAAGGAUGGAUGGAAGAAGGUGGAGGAGGAAGGAUGGACGAGGGAGAGGAUGGAUGGUGAAGGAAGGAUGGAUGAGGGAGAGGAUGGAUGGAAGAAGGUGGAGGGGGAAGGAUGGAUGAGGGAGAGGAUUGAUGGAUCUUCCAUCCAUCCUUUCAUAUGUUUGGUGAAACAUAGACGGAUGGAUAGAAAUGAUUCUCUUUAUUUGGUAUAGGAGGAAUAAAAGGGAGGAUGAUAUUUAUAUAACAUUUUUAUUAGGAAGGAUGAAUGACGGAGAGGAUGGAUGGAAAGUGGAGGAAGGAUAGAUGAGGAAGAGAAUGGAUAGAAGAUCCAUCCAUCCUUCUAUAUGUUUGGUGAAAUAUAGACGGAUGGAUAAAAAUGAUUUUCUCUGUUUGGCAUUGGAUAAAUGAGAGGAUGGAUGAAUUUUUCAUCUAUCCCUUAAUAUGUUUGGUGAAGUAUAGAUGGAUGGAUAGAAAUGAUUCUCUCCUCGGUUUAGUAUAGGAGGAAUGAAAGCGAGGA